rnacentral:rRNA from 1 species
AACGAACGCUGGCGGCAUGCCUAACACAUGCAAGUCGAACGAGACCUUCGUGUCUAGUGGCGCACGGGUGCGUAACACGUGGGAAUCUGCCCUUUGCUUCGGAAUAACAGUUAGAAAUGACUGCUAAUACCGGAUGAUGUCGAAAGACCAAAGAUUUAUCGGCAAAGGAUGAGCCCGCGUAGGAUUAGGUAGUUGGUGGGGUAAAGGCCUACCAAGCCGACGAUCCUUAGCUGGUCUGAGAGGAUGAUCAGCCACACUGGGACUGAGACACGGCCCAGACUCCUACGGGAGGAAGCAGUGGGGAAGAUUGGACAAUGGGCGAAAGCCUGAUCCAGCAAUGCCGCGUGAGUGAUGACGGCCUUAGGGUUGUAAAGCUCUUUUACCAGGGAUGAUAAUGACAGUACCUGGAGAAUAAGCUCCGGCUAACCCAGUG